rnacentral:rRNA from 1 species
GUGAGUAAUGUAUGGGGAUCUGCCCGAUAGAGGGGGAUAACUACUGGAAACGGUGGCUAAUACCGCAUAAUGUCUACGGACCAAAGCAGGGGCUCUUCGGACCUUGCACUAUCGGAUGAACCCAUAUGGGAUUAGCUAGUAGGUGGGGUAAAGGCUCACCUAGGCGACGAUCUCUAGCUGGUCUGAGAGGAUGAUCAGCCACACUGGGACUGAGACACGGCCCAGACUCCUACGGGAGGCAGCAGUGGGG